AAUUCACAUAUUUAGUCGAAAUAUAUCGGUGCUGUAUUAUAUUUAACACAAAAAGCGCGUUUUUUCGGGCAACUUAUUUUUAUGUUCAACAUCGGUGUUGCUUGUUUUUUAGUCUCGCAAACACAGUUAAAAUAAAAGAGAAUGGCAGAAGGAAAGAAAAACGAACGUGUAAUGGAAGUUGAUGAUGCUACAGACAAACAAAAGAGACCACAAAAAGAAAAAGUCAUGUGGUCAUCCUAUGCAUAUGAAGAAGAGAGCACUACAAGUGGUGGGGACUGGUGGUGGUCCAUCCAAAA